rnacentral:rRNA from 1 species
ACGGCUCAGUAACACGUGGACAACCUACCCUAUGGAGGGGGAUAACCCCGGGAAACUGGGGAUAAUACCCCAUAGACUAUGGAUGCUGGAAUGCCCUGUAGUCAAAAGGUCCGCCGCCAUAGGAUGGGUCUGCGGCCGAUUAGGUUGUUGUUGGGGUAACGGCCCAACAAGCCUGUAAUCGGUAUGGGUUGUGGGAGCAAGAGCCCGGAGAUGGAUUCUGAGACACGAAUCCAGGCCCUACGGGGCGCAGCAGGCGCGAAAACUUUACAAUGCGGGAAACCGUGAUAAGGGAACUCCGAGUGCCCGUAAAAUCGGGCUGUCCACCAGUUCAAAUAACUGGUGAAGAAAGGGCCGGGCAAGACCGGUGCCAGCCGCCGCGGUAAUACCGGCGGCUCGAGUGGUGGCCACUAUUACUGGGCUUAAAGCGUUCGUAGCUGGUCUGUUAAGUCUCUGGGGAAAUCUGCCGGCUUAACCGGCAGGCGUCUCAGGGAUACUGGCAGACUAGGGACCGGGAGAGGUGAGAGGUACUCCAGGGGUAGGAGUGAAAUCCUGUAAUCCUUGGGGGACCACCUGUGGCGAAGGCGUCUCACCAGAACGGCUCCGACAGCGAGGGACGAAAGCUGGGGGAGCAAACCGGAUUAGAUACCCGGGUAGUCCCAGCCGUAAACGAUGCGCGUUAGGUGUAUCGAUGACCACGAGUCAUCGAGGUGCCGAAGAGAAAUCGUGAAACGUGCCGCCUGGGAAGUACGGUCGCAAGGCUGAAACUUAAAGGAAUUGGCGGGGGAGCAC